UUCAGUGUUUUUCUAGAUCUUGUAACUAAGUAUUAAAAACAAGGGCAUACACUCUGUAUCUCAGACUCCAACAAGUGUCCCUGAGUAACUCUGUGCCUUAGAUCUACUCUGUUAAGGAAGCCAAUGAUACCAAUCUUCUUUUGGUAAAAUAUGCAUUAUUAUCAUUCUCUGCUUUAAAGAACAUGUUUGUGUCAGUCCUAGGAGAGCUGUUUUCCAAAGGAGCAUGAAUUCAUCAGAGUACUCACAUGAUUUGGCCCUUAGUGUUUCAGAAACAAAAAUGAUGAGUUGCAGCCUCCCACUCCACCCACAGUUCCAGAAAAUGUGAUAUAAGAUGACAGCAGAGAUUUUCAGUCACAUGGUGUUGUUUUUUGGCCCGUUGCAGGCCAGAUCUAAAGGUUCAGAACUCACACUCCUUUUCUCAGUACCUCAGAGCAAGUUUCUCUGCUGUGACCUACCUUUUCCUGUGUUUCAGGAUACAGUGCAAAAUGAUGCUGAGAGUAGCUGGUGAUUUGGCUACAAUCUGACUGAGAAACAGCAAAAUUGAGGAGCUAUCAGAACAUAAACCUGAGCAGAAAUACCCACCUUUAAUGCAGAAAGUGAUGGAAAGCUCAGCCUGACUUUAAUACCAGGCAGAGGAGUCCGCUAAUCUCCUAGUUUGUAACUCCAUACCAAUGCCCCUGAUCUUCAGGUGUGAGUGCCACCUGCUUCUCGGAACUCCCAGGGUUUGUGCAUGAUCUCCUCUACCUAGGUGGAUGCUACAAAGCUGUCUCAGCUGUGUUUUCUUUGUUAAAAGCUCUCAAAUCCUUCCCAAAGUAUCCCAGGAGCCUGGCUUUGAGAAAUGUGAAAGAUGGAGGGAUAAAAUGUGUUGCCAUUGAAGAGUUACAUUUUAAACUCUAAAAGUCAGUUUUAACAGAAGUAUUUUCCUGUGUAUGUGUCAACAUUAGGCAACAGAAUGAAAUGAGUGCAUGUGUGCAGAGUUCCAGUAAAUAGCUCCACACUUACCAGUCCCUUUCAUUAGUUUUAACACUCUUUUUUACUCUGUGUGUUUCAGACAGGAGACUCAUUACUAUCCCUGCUGUGGGCUGGCACCCACUUUCCUUUUGGCAAAUUACAAAAGUGUCAGGUCCAACUUUUUUUUUGGUAUUCCAGACACUGACCUGGACUCUGCAGUCAGGUCUAACUCUGAGUUAGGCAAAUAAUACCUUAUUUGUCAUUUCCAGCAGUUGGUUCAUUCUCAACUCAGACAGGAAGGAGUCCUGACUCCUUUGUUCUUCCUGAAAAAGAAGAAAAUAUGUUCCCUCUGGCUUUGUAAAUGCUACUCUCCUUUGGGUGUUGAGCUGCUGCAGUUCUUUGCUUGGUCUAGACAGUAAGUAAAGAAGGUUCACUGGGACUUCUCUGCUUGGCUAAACCACUUGUGAAUCAUGAAUCUGCUGAGAGUACUCCUAUUGAACAGAGUAAUCUAAAGAAGGAGUCCUUUUAAUCCAUUGAUCCUUGCUUUUCUUAUAUAUAUAUAUAUGUAUAUUAACCAUCGUACUGCACCCAGCAAUCCAAAUACAAUUGAUAUGGUAGAAGAAAAUCCAUGCAACCUAAAACAUGAAGCUGGAUCUUUGUUACUCAAAUUUUUUCCUACUUUUAUUCAUUUGGAAUAAGACUAAUAGAGCUAAAAAUGAAUAGUGUCUAUAAAUAUUUCCUCCAUUCAUAAGCUUAUAUAUGUAUUUUAAAAUAGCUGUUAAACAUACAGACUGAAUGUGCUAAUUGAGACAGUGAUACAGUGAAAAUCUUCACAGAAACUUGGGGAGAAGAGGUAUGGAAAAAGUAAAGUAAUUCCUUGUUCCUCAGUGUAGUGGCAUCACUCAUGAGCAAAGAAGAGGAAAACUUUCUUCCAGAGAUGAGAUGAGUCAAAAAGGGGUUCUCAGCCUUUGUCCUGUGCUCUUCAUGUGCAAGUGGAUGUGAGCAUGGAAAGAAGGUCUGUGGCAUAUGCAAGAGCCAUCAUGACAAAAUUAUCCCAUCUUAACUCAAUAGCAUUGGGAGCUACUGUGUAUAGGCAAAAGAAGUAUUCUACAGAGACAGGCAUAUCAACAUCUGCUGAAGAUUUUCAGACUGCCUUCCCCUCUUUACCACUUUUACUAAACCUGUCAUGAGCUGAACACACUCAUCGAGACAGUCCCUGUACUUAGGCUCUUGGCCCUUGUAACCAGCAAGAGCUGAAAAAAGAAGUACCAGAGAUAAUAAACCUGCUGGGUCCUUGCAACGUGUAAGAAUCUCUUUUUCUUGGAUUGUAUGUAGGGCAGUCAGCCUGAGAAGAUCCUCACAAACUGAAGGAACAGCAUGCCCACACUGAUAGUUUCCAGCACUCAGCAUCUUCUGUACCACAGAACUGCUGAUGGUGUAUCAGCCAAGAUACAAGACUUAAAAAAUUUCAGGAAUGGCCAAGGAACCAACAACUGAGCAUCAGGGACUGAAUAUCUUUUGGAAAGCACAUCCUUUUUAGUUCACAGGUGGUGUGAGGAGGAACAAUUGACUUGAAAAUUACAGCAGUUCUGCAAUUUCUUCAAAUUGACAUAAAUCAAGGAAUAACUACUUAGAAUAACCAACUCCUUGCUGCAGGACAUGAUCAGAACUAGAAAAUUAUAUUGAAGCUGGGAAGAUGAAGAGAUGUUUGGAUAUGCUGAGAUCACAGUUUUCAGCUGUAAGCACAGGAGUGCACAUUUUAACAAUGGAGCAGAUGCUUCCAAUUAUCUGCAAUAAGGAGAAGGGACACUUGAAAAUCUAGCUGGUAUUAGGUGGCUGUCAGAAGGCUCUUGGAUAAGAGGAAAAGGAUGCAAAGUGCAGCAAAAUAAUUUUACUUUCAUAACACAUUAAUUUUAAGUCUGCUCUACAAGUUGAAAAACUCGUGUGUAUUCUGAUGACUGAAAGCAAAACAGUCAAACUGGAAAUCUUAAUGUAGAGUGCUUUUCCUAUUUUAAACCAUGAAAAACUUUACUCAUUAAAUAUUUCCUUUGAUGUUCUACAAUGUUAUUCAAAUUUAAGUGGAUUUACAUGUUUAACUGUGCCUACUGCUUGCUCAUGUAGUGUUUAUAUAUGAACUGAAAAUAAGAUUCCCAUAGAAAGGGACAGCUUGUAAAAUACAAAACAGUACAACAUAAAAGAGAAGAAACUGUACAACAUAGAAGAAAUAUAAAUGUAGCCCUUUCAUUCACUCUUUGGCAAUUACUGCAUGGCACAUCCUGGGGCAUGUUUUUGAUUUGCUAUGUGCUUAGCAGGGUGAUGUUCAGGAAAGCUGAACUGCCUGCCCAAACCAUGCAUGUGCUGACAGACAAAUUCAUGUCUUGUCGUUUGUUCCUUGUCUGUGCUAACUCAGGCUGCCUGCACUCUCUGCUGAAGGCAUGCCUGGUUUUUUCACCUGAGCCUCAUGAAGAAGACAAGAACCACAGACAAUCCUUCUCUCCAGUGUGUCAAGCCUGUGUUGCAGACUUCCCACAACACAUCCCCACCACUCUGAUAGCUGGGCUACCACAAUGGCACUCAGAUGAGUGAAAAAGUCAAUAAAACAGAAACAAGCUUUUGGUGAAAGA